rnacentral:rRNA from 1 species
GACGUAGGGCGCAAGCGUUGUCCGGAUUUAUUGGGCGUAAAGAGCGUGUAGGCGGCCACUUAAGUCCUGCGUGAAAUCUUGCGGCUCAACCGCAAGCGGUCGUGGGAAACUGGUGACUAGAGUGCGGGAGAGGAGAGUGGAAUUCCUGGUGUAGCGGUGGAAUGCGCAGAUAUCAGGAAGAACACCAGUGGCGAAGGCGGUUGCCUGGAGCUUGCUGACGCUGAGGCGCGAAAGCGUGGGGAGCGAUCGGAUAGAUACC